rnacentral:lncRNA from 1 species
AUAUUCUCAAUAUCAUCAGCUUAGCACUCUACUCUGGCCAGUUCAGCUACAUCAUCAGACCGAAGUCAAGACCGAGAACUUUGGACUAAAUCAGGAGGAAGCCUGUAUUUCUGAUAAAAAAGAAGAUGAGGCGGGGUCAAAGAUAACACAAGAAAAACUGUUUUCUCAGCAUUCAAUCUCUACAGACAAACCGGAUGUGAGUGAGCCUGGUCUGUUUUCUCCAGAUUUUAACACUGAUCUCUGUGAUCUACUGGAGGAUUACCAGGACUUGAAUGAAUCCUUUUCUCAGAAACAUUUAUCUAUC